GCAAUUAAGUCGUCUCGAACCUACAAUCCUUAACCGCUUCCAGCGCCCUAAAACGUUUAUUAUGGGAAGCAAUGAAUCGGCGGGCUUAGAGGUUAUGUUUCAACUACGACGAAUGAUUCACCACUGACCACAAAUGUCGCAGGCCUUAGUUUCUGUUACUCGAUGGGACAAGUAGACAAAAAAAAAAGGAGGAAACUGCAGAACUUGAAAUUUCUCUGCAUGCCCUCAAGGGGUGGUCAUCAGCAUGCAUAAUAUACAUCCUCGUGGUCAUCUGCCACCAAGAG
rnacentral:lncRNA from 1 species